GACGAACGCUGGCGGCGUGCUUAACACAUGCAAGUCGAACGGAAAGGCCUGCUUUCCCUUGUGGAUUGCGGGUACUCGAGUGGCGAACGGGUGAGUAACACGUGAGUGAUCUGCCCCCAACUUGGGUAUAAGCCUGGGAAACUGGGUCUAAUUCCCGAUAGGACUGCAGGGUGGUGCCUGUGGUGGAAAACGAUUUUCUAGUGGUUGGGGAUGAGCUCGCGGCCUAUCAGCUUGUUGGUGGGGUAAUGGCCUACCAAGGCGGCGACGGGUAGCCGGCCUGGGAGGGAGGACGGCCACAUUGGGACUGAGAUACGGCCCAGACUCCUACGGGAGGCAGCAGUGGGGAAUAUUGCACAAUGGGCGGAAGCCUGAUGCAGCGACGCCGCGUGGGGGAUGACGGCCUUCGGGUUGUAAACUCCUUUCGACCGCGAGGAAGCCACCUGGUUGGAAGGGUGGUGACGGUAGUGGUAGAAGAAGCACCGGCUAACUACGUG
rnacentral:rRNA from 1 species